AAACACAACCAAAAACAUUAAGUAUGAUAGAAAAUAAAGUCUCUGUUCUGUAAACAAAACUUCCCUUCAAAAAAUAAAUAAAAAAUAUUAAACAUGGAGCACAGACAGGGAAAACCAGUAAAACUGCCAGUUAGUACCAUUGUAUUAAAAAUAAAACUAGAAAAAAAAUUUUAAAAAAUAUAUC